GGGCUCCUGGGGCAAUGGCCUUUGGUAGUAUAUAGUGAGUGUACUUAAUAGAACAAAGAACAGAUACAGGAGUAUAGUGACAAGAUGGGUAAAGAACCCUAGGUCCAACAUACCCACAUUGUGGUUGACCAUCCUAUAGACAUUAGUUUGCUAACCAAUUUUUAAAAAUGAUUUUAAACUGCCAUAUAUCUUUUUGACUUUUGCCCUACUGUUGCUUCAUUCUCCAAACUAGACCUCCAGAGGGUUUCUGAAGGUGUCAAGUCAUCUAACUUUGGAAAUCUUGCCCUGAGACCAUGUUGUCCUCAUUGCAGAAUUCCCUAAACAAAAACACAUGCUGAGUGCUUCACUGAAGAAGAAGAAUAGUAUUCAUGUUAGAGGCCACAGACUCCAUUCCAUCAAUCUAGAAAAGGAUGAAGAAAAAGACCAAAAACUCUAGACCAUUUCUCAGGGAUACAUGAUAUAAAGCAGAAGAAGAAUUGUGUAUGUGGAAAGGAGUUGGUCCUUAGACUCUCCUGGUUUACUAUUUGGUAUAAAUAAGAAGUCCUUCAUUCUCAAAUGAUAUGCAAGAAAAGUCCAAAUCUGUUUAGUCAAAUAGUUUUAAAGACAUAGGCAGUUCAAAAUUUCAGAAAAAAAGGUACAAGCAACCAUGCAAUAAUUUAUUGCAAAAUUCUACAAAUAUGCUGGUCUAACCUUUCACUCUUUCAGUAUCAGGUUGCCAAUACCUUUCAUAUGGGUGAUACUAUUUUAGGUGUUUAGGCAUGUCCAAACACAGAUUAUAGCUAUAUGCAAAAUAACAUGUAUGAUAAAAUAAUUUUUAUAUGAACCAGCAAAUGU
rnacentral:lncRNA from 1 species